AGAAACACUAGUUCUCAUAUGAUCACCGAAGUUAAUUAAUGUCAGGCCCGGUCAUUACUUAGAUGGGUGACUGCUUGAGAAUACCAGUUGCUGUAA